UUACUUAGCUUGCUUUGUAAGUUUAGUGGCGGACGGGUGAGUAACACGUGAGCAACCUGCCCAGAAGAAAGGGAUAGCUCGAGGAAACUCGAAUUAAUACCAUAUGUGAUCCUGUGAAGCAUUUCGCAGGAAUGAAAGAUGCCUUCGGGUGUCACUUCUGGAUGGGCUCGCGGCCUAUCAGUUAGUUGGUGAGGUAACGGCUCACCAAGGCAAUGACGGGUAGCUGGUCUGAGAGGACGACCAGUCACACUGGAACUGAGACACGGUCCAGACACCUACGGGUGGCAGCAGUCGAGAAUCAUUCGCAAUGGGGGAAACCCUGACGGUGCGACGCCGCGUGGAGGAUGACGGUCUUCGGAUUGUAAACUCCUGUCAUCGAAGAGUAAGGCUUAUGUAUUAAUAGUAUGUAAGAUUGAUAGUAUUCGAAGAGGAAGGGACGGCUAACUUCGUGCCAGCAGCCGCGGUAAUACGAAGGUCCCAAGCGUUGUUCGGAAUCACUGGGCGUAAAGGGAGCGUAGGCGGUGAGGUAAGUCAGAUGUGAAAUUCCAGGGCUCAACCCUGGAACUGCAUCCGAUACUGCCUUACUAGAGUAGUGGAGGGGCAUCUGGAAUUCACGGUGUAGCAGUGAAAUGCGUAGAGAUCGUGAGGAACACUAGUGGCGAAGGCGAGAUGCUGGACACUUACUGACGCUGAGGCUCGAAGGCCAGGGUAGCGAAAGGGAUUAGAUACCCCUGUAGUCCUGGCAGUAAACGGUGCACGUUUGGUGUGAGAAGGUUCGACCCUUUUCGUGCCGGAGUUAACGCG
rnacentral:rRNA from 1 species